AUUGAACGCUGGCGGCAGGCCUAACACAUGCAAGUCGAACGAGUGGCGGACGGGUGAGUAAUGUCUGGGGAACUGCCCGAUAGAGGGGGAUAACUACUGGAAACGGUAGCUAAUACCGCAUACUAUCGGAUGUACCCAUAUGGGAUUAGCUUGUAGGUGAGGUAAUGGCUCACCUAGGCGACGAUCCCUAGCUGGUCUGAGAGGAUGACCAGCCACACUGGAACUGAGACACGGUCCAGACUCCUACGGGAGGCAGCAGUGGGGAAUAUUGCACAAUGGGCGCAAGCCUGAUGCAGCCAUGCCGCGUGUAUGAAGAAGGCCUUCGGGUUGUAAAGUACUUUCAGCGGGGAGGCGUUACCGGCAGAAGAAGCACCGGCUAACUCCGUGCCAGCAGCCGCGGUAAUUC
rnacentral:rRNA from 1 species